GCUGGGACACAAAAUCAUCAGUCUACUGCUUAGAGACCAGACAGCUCGUUACCACAGCUGAGACUGUGUGUGUGUGUGUGUGUGUGUGUGUGUGUGUGUGUGUGUGUGUGUUUGGUUAUGUAUCCAUAAAUUCAACAUACAGUCUGUUAUAUUGGCAAAUUAUUUUCCCCUCAGUAGUUCUCUGCACCUUAAUUUUGGGUGUUUCUAAUGUAUCUUUGUUUUGUUUCCUCCUCAGAGGUCCUUGUCUCCUCGAUCCAUCUCUCCUCCUCCCUCCCCUGAGAAGGAGACCCGGGAGUGGCUGGAGAACCGUUCUCCUGGAGGUUCCUCCCCUGGCUCCACCAUCCAGACUAGCAGAACACACAGCACACACACACCGCCCACACCACACACACCACACACACCACACACACCACACACACCACACACACCACACACACACACAGCCAGUACCAAGAGCACCGUCCAGCACUUCCACCGGCCAGAAAACGGCUCCAACAUCUAUAAGAAGCCCCCCAUCUACAAACAAGGUGCAGCGACCUGAUGUCUCAGCGGUCUUUCUGUGUCUCAGAGCCAUCAGUGAACUACAGCACAGUUU